CUACGUGCCAGCAGCCGCGGUAAUACGUAGGUCCCGAGCGUUGUCCGGAUUUAUUGGGCGUAAAGCGAGCGCAGGCGGUUAGAUAAGUCUGAAGUUAAAGGCUGUGGCUUAACCAUAGUACGCUUUGGAAACUGUUUAACUUGAGUGCAAGAGGGGAGAGUGGAAUUCCAUGUGUAGCGGUGAAAUGCGUAGAUAUAUGGAGGAACACCGGUGGCGAAAGCGGCUCUCUGGCUUGUAACUGACGCUGAGGCUCGAAAGCGUGGGGAGCAAACAGGAUUAGAUACCCUGGUAGUCCACGCCGUAAACGAUGAGUGCUAGGUGUUAGACCCUUUCCGGGGUUUAGUGCCGUAGCUAACGCAUUAAGCACUCCGCCUGGGGAGUACGACCGCAAGGUUGAAACUCAAAGGAAUUGACGGGGGCCCGCACAAGCGGUGGAGUAUGUGGUUUAAUUCGACGCAACGCGAAGAACCUUACCAGGUCUUGACAUUGAUGGACAGAACUAGAGAUAG
rnacentral:rRNA from 1 species